UCUGCAUGAGCUAUAGUUGUGGGAGUUCUAACAGUUGUUAUAUAUGCCCAUAAUGCAUUGUAGAUAUUUUCAUGCCAUUUUUAGCUGGACUCGACCAUUCCUUUUAAGACUCUGAUCAGAAUCAUGGUUCUGGCUUCUACUUGGCCAUUGCCUUGUAGGUAGUAAGCUGAUGAAAAUUGAUGCUUAAUUCUAAAUUUUGAACAGAAAUUCUGCAUGUGUUCAUUCUUGAAGUGUGUCCCAUUAUCUAAGACAAUAUCAUGAGGCACUGGAAAUCUACAAAGAAUGUUCAUAUGAAUGAAAGCCACUAUGUGUUUGCCUUCUACUAUUUCUGAGUGUCACAACUUCAACCCACUUAGUGAAGUAUUCCAUGGUUGCAAGAAAGUACUUAUGACCAUUACAAGUAGAGUGAUUGAUGGGCCCACAACAUCAAAUGCCAACAUUGAAAAAAGGUCAUGGUGAGACUACUGAGUGUAAAUAUGUAGUAGGUGCAUGAAUGGAAUCUACAUGAAUUUGGCAUUUGAAACACUUUUUGACAUGUUUGUAACAAUCUUGUUGCAUGGUUUGCUAAUGAUAGUUGGCUCUAAUUAACUGCUCGGUGAGAGUUUCGUAGCCUAUGUGGCCACCACAGAUUCCUUCAUGGGUUUUUUCUAAUUACCUCUUAUGCCUCAACUUUAUCUAUGCAUCUGGAGUAUUCUGCAUUGGAGCCCCCCUUGUUUAAAAUUUUGGCGAGUAUACAAUAUCAAUGAGACAUUCUUUGAAUUGUUUGGACAUCCAAAGGGAAGUUUCAUGUUUCUAGGUGAUUCUUUAUGUUUUGAUAUUAGGGUGCUUCUUUUGAUUCCGGUUGACCUGUUCUAUCCUUUCAUAGGCUGAUUGACAAGACAUCUUUUAAUUGCUUUCUGCUCUUGUUUAGACAUGUCGAGAGGGAAGCUUCUUAUUUUCAGAUAAUUCAUUAUGUUUUGAUACUAGGGUGCUUCUUGUGAUUCUACAUGGUGACCUUUUUCAUACUAGGUGCUUCUUGUGAUUCCACAUGGUGACCUUCGAUCUUUCCAUCGGCUGAUUGAGUCAAUCUUCCAACUUCAAAGGCUCCACAUGGUUCAGGUCAAUUGAUGGUACUAAUGGAGCCUCAGCUGGCUAAAUGAUUUGCAAACUAAUUGAACUCUCUUCUAACAUAGAAAAGCUAAAAUUCAUCAAACUGUUUGACCAGUACUUUGGUCAUCUCUUGAGAUGGUAUGAGUUUAGAAUCUUUCACUUACCAUUCUUCAUUAACUUGAUUUAAAAUAAUGAGGGAGUCUUUUUAAGAGUGAACUCUUUCCACAUUAAAUUCUAGUAGUGUCUCAAAGCCUCGACUAAAGACUUCUUAUUCUACUAUCUUGUAUGUACAGAGGAAAUCCAGCCUGAGGGAGUCGAGGAAAUCCAGCCUGAGGGAAUAUGGUAUUAUUUACUUUUUAGGAUAGGUGGAUCCAAUAGGUACUAUUUGAUACACGUCAAAAGGUGUUGGCAUUGUGGGGCCCACUGAAGAUUGACCCCUCUUUUGAGAAAAUGCCACCAACUGGGUCGUCAUCCCAAAUGUUGAAAAAGACAGCCAUGUCCAGAGCUUGGGUAAGUAUGCAGUGCAAAAACAGAACAACCCAUACCUCAAAUUCAUAAAGGUGGUGCAUGCAGAGAUGCUGGACCAUGGCACCCAACACUAUACCUACAAGCUCGUCAUUUGCCUGGUAGAAGGAAUCCGCACAGCCUAUUAAUCCAGCGAGAUCCUGUAGGAUCUUGGGGCACCGAACGAGCCACCAGUGCUAAACAUAGCUUCCUUAAAGCCCAUCUCUUACUGGCCUAAACCAAACCCCAAGUGGAUCACCAUCCCUAACGAUGGAUGCGCCUGGCACUUGUGUUCCUUUGCUGUGAACAGAUACAACAGUCAGAACCAUGCUUCUCUCAAUCUCUUGAAGGUGGUGUAUGGAUAGAUGCUGGAUCGCGGCACUGAGCAUUUCACCUACCACUUCACCAUUAAAGUUUCUGAUAGCUACAGGGUGAAGACAUACAAAAUUGAAGUGUUCCAAGAUUUGUCAGCAGCGGGCCAGCCACGGGUCCUCAACUUGGGAUACUUCCACCGCCUCUAGAUUAAUUAACAUUGUUCCCCCUGCUGUUCUAUAUAUAUUUAUUUCAAUAAUAAAUGCAUCCAUACAUUGAUGCAUUUGAUCAUGAAAGAUUGUUGUCAUUGCUCAUUGAUGUGUAGCCCCUACAUUUUUUAGCAUGAAGGACAUCACUGUAUAGCAGAAGAUUCCCACAGCUUUGAUGUUUGACUGCCAACUUGAUCUAGUUAUAAUCUGAAUAAUCAUCCAUGAAAGAGAACAUCUCAUGUCCCAUGGCAUUGUCUAUCAACACAUUCAUUUUUGGCAAUGGAUAGCCACCUUUUAGAGUG